rnacentral:rRNA from 1 species
AACAGGAUUAGAUACCCUGGUAGUCCACGCCGUAAACGAUGAGUGCUAGGUGUUAGACCCUUUCCGGGGUUUAGUGCCGUAGCUAACGCAUUAAGCACUCCGCCUGGGGAGUACGACCGCAAGGUUGAAACUCAAAGGAAUUGACGGGGGCCCGCACAAGCGGUGGAGCAUGUGGUUUAAUUCGAAGCAACGCGAAGAACCUUACCAGGUCUUGACAUCCCUCUGACCACUCUAGAGAUAGAGUUUUCCUUCGGGACAGAGGUGACAGGUGGUGCAUGGUUGUCGUCAGCUCGUGUCGUGAGAUGUUGGGUUAGGUCCCGCAACGAGCGCAACCCCUAUUGUUAGUUGCCAUCAUUCAGUUGGGCACUCUAGCGAGGCUGCCGGUAAUAAACCGGAGGAAGGUGGGGAUGACGUCAAAUCAUCAUGCCCCUUAUGACCUGGGCUACACACGUGCUACAAUGGCUGGUACAACGAGUCGCAAGUCGGUGACGGCAAGCUAAUCUCUUAAAGCCAGUCUCAGUUCGGAUUGUAGGCUGCAACUCGCCUACAUGAAGUCGGAAUCGCUAGUAAUCGCGGAUCAGCACGCCGCGGUGAAUGCGUUCCCGGGCCUUGUACACACCGCCCGUCACACCACGAGAGUUUGCAACACCCGAAGUCGGUGAGGUAACCAUUAGGAGCCAGCCGCCUAAGGUGGGAUAGAUGAUUGGGGUGAAGUCGUAACAAGGUAACC